rnacentral:rRNA from 1 species
UACAGAGGUCCCAAGCGUUGUUCGGAUUUACUGGGCUUAAAGGGUGCGCAGGCGGUCAGAUAAGUCGGGUGUGAAAUCCCAAGGCUUAACCUUGGAACUGCGCCCGAAACUGUUUGGCUCGAGGAUUGGAGAGGAGACUGGAAUUCACGGUGUAGCGGUGAAAUGCGUAGAUAUCGGGAGGAACACCAAUGGCGAAGGCAGGUCCCUGGACAAUUUCUGACGCUGAUGCGCGAAAGCCAGGGGAGCAAACGGG